UGGUCGGGAGGCUCCAAUGGGAAUGGAGCCGGGAAUUGACCGAAGCGUGCUGUCUCGUAUGGGAGCAAGACCGGGACCCGACGGUGCUUGUU
rnacentral:ncRNA from 1 species